rnacentral:rRNA from 1 species
UACGUAGGGGGCUAGCGUUGUCCGGAAUCAUUGGGCGUAAAGAGCGUGUAGGCUGCUCGGUAAGUCCGCUGUAAAAGUCAAAGGCUCAACCUUUUGAAUGUCAGUGGAUACUGCCGGGCUAGAGUCCGGUAGGGGAGUGUGGAAUUCCCGGUGUAGCGGUGAAAUGCGCAGAUAUCGGGAGGAACACCAGUAGCGAAGGCGGCACUCUGGGCCGGUACUGACGCUGAGGAGCGAAAGCGUGGGGAGCAAACAGG